rnacentral:lncRNA from 12 species
GGUGGGAUGUGUUUCUGAAGGGUGUUAUGACUCUCUUUCCUGACCAGGGCUCUUUGUUCCAUGGCAGAGAACAAGCCCAGUUGAGAGGAGUCAGGACAUUUGGGGACAAGGGUAGUGUACAUGCUGUACUCAUGGGAGAAUACUGUCUGGAAUCCUGGAUCCUGGAAGGGUGGGAGCCCUUACAACCCCAUCAUUUCCAAGAUAAAGCACUUUUCAGAAUGCUCAAUUUUGUGCUGACAUGGCUGGAGCACUCAUUGGUGCAGAGCUUCCUGGAGCACUGAGCAGCUUCAUCAGGUCCCCGUGUCCCACAAGAGCUUCCAGAGAGGGAACUUCCAACUGCUGCCUAAACUGUCAGUCCCUGUGUUGUCCUGGGUGAAGUUGCAGACAUGUCAAGUGAUGAGUGUGGGUUUUCCCCAGCCAUGUGACAAUGAAU